CAGCCGCCACGGUAAAACGGAGGGGGCUAGCGUUGUUCGGAAUUACUGGGCGUAAAGCGCACGUAGGCGGCUUGGUAAGUUAGAGGUGAAAGCCCAGGGCUCAACCCUGGAACUGCCUUUAAGACUGCCGAGCUAGUAGGUGAGAGAGGUGAGUGGAAUUCCGAGUGUAGAGGUGAAAUUCGUAGAUAUUCGGAAGAACACCAGUGGCGAAGGCGGCUCACUGGCUCAUUCUAGACGCUGAGGUGCGAAAGCGUGGGGAGCAAACAGGAUUAGAUACCCCCGUAGUCCCUGUCUCUUAUAC
rnacentral:rRNA from 1 species